UACGUAGGGUGCAGGCGUUAAUCGGAAUUACUGGGCGUAAAGCGUGCGCAGGCGGUCUGCUAAGAGAGGUGUGAAAUCCCCGGGCUUAACCUGGGAACUGCGCUUCUAACUGGCAGGCUAGAGUGUGGCAGAGGGGGGUGGAAUUCCACGUGUAGCAGUGAAAUGCGUAGAGAUGUGGGGGAACACCGAUGGCGAAGGCAGCCCCCUGGGCUAACACUGACGCUCAUGCACGAAAGCGUGGGGAGCAAACGGG
rnacentral:rRNA from 1 species